rnacentral:rRNA from 1 species
GAUGAACGCUGGCGGCGUGCUUAACACAUGCAAGUCGAACGAAGCAUUUAAGACAGAUUACUUCGGUUUGAAGUCUUUUAUGACUGAGUGGCGGACGGGUGAGUAACGCGUGGGUAACCUGCCUCAUACAGGGGGAUAGCAGCUGGAAACGGCUGGUAAUACCGCAUAAGCGCACAGUACCACAUGGUACAGUGUGAAAAACUCCGGUGGUAUGAGAUGGACCCGCGUCUGAUUAGCUUGUUGGCGGGGUAACGGCCCACCAAGGCGACGAUCAGUAGCCGACCUGAGAGGGUGACCGGCCACAUUGGGACUGAGACACGGCCCAGACUCCUACGGGAGGCAGCAGUGGGGAAUAUUGCACAAUGGAGGAAACCCUGAUGCAGCGACGCCGCGUGAGUGAAGAAGUAGUUCGCUAUGUAAAGCUCUAUCAGCAGGGAAGUUAGUGACGGUACCUGACUAAGAAGCUCCGGCUAAAUACGUG